AAGACUAUAGACCUGCGGAGUACCUGCGGAAGGAUCAUUAACAAAUCCAUAUGCGUGAGUUUGGGUGGGUAAUUCUGCCUGCUCACGAAUAUUAAACCCGGCUAGUCCGCGAGGGCUAGUUGGAAAUAAAUGCGUGUUAUGUUGACAGUGUGUGAGUGAUUUUUAAUUAUUGACAACUUUCAGCAAUGGAUCUCU
rnacentral:misc_RNA from 1 species